GAUGAACGCUGGCGGCGUGCCUAAUACAUGCAAGUCGAGCGAACAGACGAGGAGCUUGCUCCUCUGACGUUAGCGGCGGACGGGUGAGUAACACGUGGAUAACCUUCCUAUAAGACUGGGAUAACUUCGGGAAACCGGAGCUAAUACCGGAUAAUAUAUUGAACCGCAUGGUUCAAUAGUGAAAGACGGUUUUGCUGUCACUUAUAGAUGGAUCCGCGCCGCAUUAGCUAGUUGGUAAGGUAACGGCUUACCAAGGCAACGAUGCGUAGCCGACCUGAGAGGGUGAUCGGCCACACUGGAACUGAGACACGGUCCAGACUCCUACGGGAGGCAGCAGUAGGUAAUCUUCCGCAAUGGGCGAAAGCUUGACGGAGCAACGCCGCGUGAGUGAUGAAGGUCUUCGGAUCGUAAAACUCUGUUAUUAGGGAAGAACAAAUGUGUAAGUAACUAUGCACGUCUUGACGGUACCUAAUCAGAAAGCCACGGCUAACUACGUG
rnacentral:rRNA from 1 species